ensembl:lncRNA
UGGAGAGAGACCCUCCAGUAGGUUUUAACUCCAACCCUGUUCCUGGAGAGAGACCCUCCUGUAGGUAACUCCAACCCUGUUCCCGGAGAGAGACCCUCCUGUAGGUUUUAACUCCAACCCUGUUCCUGGAGAAACCCUCCUGUAGGUAACUCCAACCCUGUUCCUGGAGAGAGACCCUCCAGUAGGUUUUAACUCCAACCCUGUUCCUGGAGAGAGACCCUCCUGUAGGUAACUCCAACCCUGUUCCCGGAGAGAGACCCUCCUGUUGGUAACUCCAACCCUGUUCCUGGAGAGAGACCCUCCUGUAGGUUUUAUCUCCAACCCUGUUCCUGGAGAGAGACCCUCCUGUAGGUUUUAACUCCAACCCUGUUCCUGGAGAGAGACCCUCCUGUAGGUAACUCCAACCCUGUUCCUGGAGAGAGACCCUCCUGUAGGUAACUCCAACCCUGUUCCUGGAGAGAGACCCUCCUGUAGGUAACUCCAACCCUGUUCCUGGAGAGAGACCCUCCUGUAGGUAACUCCAACCCUGUUCCUGGAGAGAGACCCUCCUGUAGGUAACUCCAACCCUGUUCCUGGAGAGAAACCCUCCUGUAGGUUUUAACUCCAACCCUGUUCCUGGAGAGAGACCCUCCUGUAGGUUUUAACUCCAACCCUGUUCCUGGAGAGAGACCCUCCUGUAGGUUU